rnacentral:other from 1 species
AAGUUUGAAACCAGACCAACGGUUUCUGAACAAAGUAUUCCCCUGAGUAAAGAAUUGCUGUGUGUAGUCUUUGCCCAUCCCCUGUGAUGGGCUUUUUUUUGC